rnacentral:lncRNA from 1 species
AUUUGACGAUGUGAACGACCUCGCCCAAGGCGAGCUGGAGAAAGGCCUUGUAAAUAUGUUGGCGACGCGUCAUUGGCGUAGUGAUAGGCGACCAGGACUAUAUAAGUGCUAUGCUGAGGUAAUCCUCAGGCGAGUGCUCGACUCAAAAUAUAAAUCAGCAAAUAUUUACCCUAUAUUCAGUUGCUCCCCACUCGAGAUGCCGAGAUGAAACAAGGGAUCUACGAGCAAUUAGGAAAAUAAUUACUUCCUAGUGAGUGGUCAUGAAAAUAGUCUGUGUCCACAAACGAACACGUGGACGAGGGCAUUAAAGGUCGAAAGAGGCGGUGCAUAAUGAUGCUGCAGAACAGCGGACAUUAAUGAUGCUUCUGGUAGGAGAGGCGGGCAUUACUGAUAUUUUUGCGUGGGGAGAGACGGUUACAAGCCGAUAGUCGAAAACGUCGCCCCCACAAUCUUAGACGUUCGAGAGGAUGGAAUCUUAGCCCUUGGUACCUCCUAUCUAUAUGGGUCCCCCUCUCUUACUUAUUUGCAUCUCUUUGUUUGCGUUGUUGAAUUGCCUGAUCCUGUUUCAAUUCACCUCGCCCUGUCAAUUUUAAUUUUUGUGUAAGAAAAUUUGAUUGUAGCAUAAUAAAGUUAUAUCAUCUUAAAUUAUAGUUUUGUUUUAUAAGUCUAUUGAUAAAUCCAUACAACUACUGCGAAUGACCAAGCAUUUGUAUUGAAGUUAGUUCCAGGUUCAUCGGAUGCCAAACGGAUGGUCAAUCCUACAGUCAAAUGCAGAUUCACAUGAAGGCUGCCAAGUUGAAUGAUGAAUAGUUCACGUCAUAUGCGAGUCACGUGUUGUUUAUCUUUUCUCAGGAUCCAGGCUCUUACUUAUUUUAUGUCAUGUCAUAUGUAGAGUCACGGGUUCAUACUUCAGUUGAGGCAGUUGAGAGCCUUUGUUAUAACGUUCUUAUCAAUUGCUAAAAACUUGCUUCUCCUUCACCCUUCACGUGAGAGGGAUGACACAUGGAUGCCGAUGUGUACAUAAACCUAAUGAAUUCAUCUGGACCCUUUACUCAUGCAUUUAUUGGGCCAUAUAUCCAUUGUCUAAUUAGGUGAAGAAAGUGCUAAACCAUACUACAAAGAUGCUGAAGCAAUAAAGAAAUUUUUGGUGCAUCGUUCUAGUCGUUGUGGUUCUAACGACGAGACGGUUGGAACCAAUCCUCAGCCAUAUAUGCCAGGGCGUAGUAACGGACACCAAUCGGUAACAAAUGGUAUGGCCGAAAACAGUUGCUUUUCUUAACAAACCUAUCCUCAUGACACGAUACUAUGGGUCCAGUCAGCCACAUCUUCAUUAGAGAUGCGUCCUACGUCCACCCCUGGGGACACAGACGACAAAUGCAUUAGGUGGCGUGGGAAGACGUGUUCGAUUACACGUUGUGAAUUAAGAGAUGUAUUCCAAUGGCAUGACCUACGUGCCCCUAAGCCCCGAAGCAGCUAGCUUUUCGGCAAGAGAUUACCUAACAGCAAGGUCAUAAAAGUGCUCGAAAACCGCGAGAUUGAUUAAAUGAAGCGAAGGCUAGAUUAUAUCAUUUUAUGGAGUAAACAAAGAAAGAAUGUCCAACACAAUGAAUAAUCAAAUUAUGUGAAGAUCCGCUGCUAGUUUUUACCCAGAACUUCAGACUUUUCAGAAGAUGAAGGUGACAAUGAAUUGAUAACUAUUCUACCUAGUAGCCUUAAACGUUGCUGGCAAAACCACUAUGUUGUUCUAAAAACAUGGCCCAUAAACACUGGGAGUUUCAAUAUGUAUGCAAAAUAAGUUAUUAUAUUUUUACGAAAAUUAUGUGUGCUUUUUCGAUCUUGGAGGCUUAGAGUAUUUUUUCAUGCGUCAUUUAAAACUAUAAGAAGGAAACAAAGUACGGUGUUAUGUUGUGCAAAGAAAUAAUAUUAUAGAUACACAGGGAACUAAUAAAAGUAUGGUAAGGUCAUUGCUACAAUGACUUUGGCAAAGUUGGAUCAAGGAUUGGUGAGUAUCCAAUUCUUCCUCAUCACCAAAAACUUUAAUCCAAACAUAGCCUUAAUAGUUUACAGCACGUCAACGGGCCUCUCGGUUCAAAAGUUAGGCAAUUGUCGAUGUCGGAAUAUGUCUUCAAAAUUUCGGCUGGGAUAUAAAUGCUAUUUGAAUCAGAGUUUCUAUGAAAACGCUAUUUGAAAAUGCGUUUUCAUUAAAAAAAAAACUUUUUAGAUUAGCUUUUAUUGUAUUCACACAUUACGGGUACAAUCAUGAAUGAAAACGUUUUUUUGUAUUAGCGUUUUUAGUAAAAAUGCUUUUUAAAAAAGGUGAACGUGGUUUCAGGAAUUAAGUUCAAACAGCCCCAUCAUUGAGAAUAAAGAAAAAAAAACCCAAAUGGUGUGAAACCUCCACCACAAUAAUACGUUGGCGCAGCCACUAUUCCUUCUCUUGUCUACGGUCGGCACCUCCAAUGCUAUCCUACUCCUGGCUAAGCACCGCUACCGUACAAAU